rnacentral:ncRNA from 1 species
CAGAGUAGAAUACGGCGCGUGAAGUGCUUUUGCGGACGGGGAGUUGCCGCAAGGACGAAAGGGUUUUUCCUGCGAUGCCGUUUUCGCAUCCCGCUGU